UGUUGUGCAUUGUUAGAACAUGGAGACAAUGGAUGGGCUGUGAGAUGACUUCACAUAGCUCUAGAAAGUGAAGAUUAAACAUAGGCUGGCUGGCCUCUUCCCCCUACGCACAUUGCUAUAAAUAGCCUUCUUGACAUACACACAUGUUCGCAUGCCAGAAAGAAGGGACUUGCAGUGGAAAAGAAAGAAAGAAUAGUGUUAGAUAGACUGGAUGUAUGUCCAAGUGAAACCCCAACAAACUCCCAUUUCUCCAGUGGAGUCUUACCUUUUUCUGCAAUCAUUGAAACCCUUAGGAAUGCAGUGACUUCCACUCGCUCGAAAUCUCUGCAUGGAGAAUGUUCUGCAUUCAUUGGUUUUCAGCAAAAGGUCGCUUUUCGUUGGUUUUCAGCAAGCCUUUGGUUAACAAAAAAAAGAAUUGUUGUAACUUUAAAAGAAAAACAACUAGCAGGUUCUGCUAUUUUUUUUAUGGUCGAUCACUUGCACUUACAUCUAUGCUUUGCGAUUAUUUUCUUCUUUGCCUUUUCUCUUCAUAGGAAGUGUGCUGCUCAUGUCCAUGACUUUGAUUUGGAUUGCAUAUAAUAGGUGGCUGUAUGUUUUCAACAAGAUUUAAUGGGGGGAAAAAAAACAAAACUAGUGGUUUUAGCAUCACCUCUGUUUGUUGCGGCAGUGUCCAACCAAUUUCUUUAUUGCCAGUCCCUUGCAUUUACAUUUAUGCUUUACCAUAAUUUUUUCCUUUUCUUUUUUCUCUAAAUGAGGUAUACAUUGCUCAUGUCGAUGUCUUUCGUUUUCAUGGCAUAUAAUGGGUGGAUGCUUUUGUUUUCAACAAGUCAUGCAUGAAAAAAAAAAACAUUUAUUAUUGUGACUUUAACCGAAAAAACACUUGCAUUUGCUUCAUCCCAUAUAUGUCAGUGCUUCAGAAAUUUUUCCACACAUUUCUAUCAGUGCUUCAGAAAUUUUUCCUUUGUUUUUUCUGUGCAUCCAGCUAGGCUGUAGGUUUUUUUAGAUUGUUCUGUAAGAUUUACUCUCCCUAUCUUUGUUUUUUUACCAGCUCUUAUCUGACUUGCCUGCUGACUUCCAUGUCAUCUCCUUCUAUGUCCCGUUAAUUGCUUUUUUCUUUUUUACAUUUUGUCAGCAGACUUGCGGAGCUGCAACCACCUGCUUUCUCAUACUAUUCUUUCACCUACAAAACUUUGGCAGGUUAUGCCCCAAAUUGUCAUCCGCACACUUCUUUUUGAGGGUUUCAUAGGAAAACUGGCACUUUCUCUACUCAUGAGUUGGAUUUUGAUUUCUGCAACAAGAAGAUAACUGCUACCUCUGCAAUUUUGACAUAAUUAGCUAACAACACUGCCCUUUAAGUGCCUUACGGCCUAUCGCUUUGUUUGCACAUUUGUUGUUGUUUACGACUCUAUCUAUACUAUUACACCUUUGAUGUUGAGCUUGGCUGCCAAUCUUCAUUGUCAUUGCUUGGCACUCCAUCCUCUUCCAUGGAUGUUAUUUCCAUUGUAAUGAAACAUUUUGCAUCUCUAAGCCAUUUUUAACA